rnacentral:rRNA from 1 species
AUUGAACGCUGGCGGCAGGCCUAACACAUGCAAGUCGAACGGUAGCACAGAGAGCUUGCUCUCGGGUGACGAGUGGCGGACGGGUGAGUAAUGUCUGGGAAACUGCCCGAUGGAGGGGGAUAACUACUGGAAACGGUAGCUAAUACCGCAUAACGUCGCAAGACCAAAGUGGGGGACCUUCGGGCCUCACACCAUCGGAUGUGCCCAGAUGGGAUUAGCUAGUAGGUGGGGUAAUGGCUCACCUAGGCGACGAUCCCUAGCUGGUCUGAGAGGAUGGCCAGCCACACUGGAACUGAGACACGGUCCAGACUCCUACGGGAGGCAGCAGUGGGGAAUAUUGCACAAUGGGCGUAAGCCUGAUGCAGCCAUGCCGCGUGUAUGAAGAAGGCCUUCGGGUUGUAAAGUACUUUCAGCGGGGAGGAAGGCGGUGAAGUUAAUAACUUCACCGAUUGACGUUACCCGCAGAAGAAGCACCGGCUAACUCCGUGCCAGCCGCCGCAGUAA